AUUGAACGCUGGCGGAAUGCUUUACACAUGCAAGUCGAACGGCAGCACGGGGGCAACCCUGGUGGCGAGUGGCGAACGGGUGAGUAAUACAUCGGAACGUGCCCAGUCGUGGGGGAUAACGCAGCGAAAGCUGUGCUAAUACCGCAUACGAUCUACGGAUGAAAGCGGGGGACCGUAAGGCCUCGCGCGAUUGGAGCGGCCGAUGGUAGAUUAGGUAGUUGGUGGGGUAAAGGCUCACCAAGCCGACGAUCUGUAGCUGGUCUGAGAGGACGACCAGCCACACUGGGACUGAGACACGGCCCAGACUCCUACGGGAGGCAGCAGUGGGGAAUUUUGGACAAUGGGCGCAAGCCUGAUCCAGCCAUUCCGCGUGCAGGAUGAAGGCCUUCGGGUUGUAAACUGCUUUUGUACGGAACGGAAAGCCUUCUUCUAAUACAGGAGGGUCAUGACGGUACCGUAAGAAUAAGCACCGGCUAACUACGUGC
rnacentral:rRNA from 1 species